CAGUCGCCACGGUAAUACGAAGGGGGCUAGCGUUGUUCGGAAUCACUGGGCGUAAAGGGUGCGUAGGCGGGAUCUUAAGUCAGGGGUGAAAUCCCGAGGCUCAACCUCGGAACUGCCUUUGAUACUGGGGUCCUUGAGUCCGGAAGAGGUGAGUGGAACUGCGAGUGUAGAGGUGAAAUUCGUAGAUAUUCGCAAGAACACCGGUGGCGAAGGCGGCUCACUGGUCCGGAACUGACGCUGAGGCACGACAGCGUGGGGAGCAAACAGGAUUAGAUACCCCAGUAGUCCCUGUCUCUUAUAC
rnacentral:rRNA from 1 species